rnacentral:rRNA from 1 species
UUGUUGGAGAGUUUGAUCCUGGCUCAGGACGAACGCUGGCGGCGUGCUUAACACAUGCAAGUCGAGCGGAAAGGCCCUUCGGGGUACUCGAGCGGCGAACGGGUGAGUAACACGUGAGCAACCUGCCCUAGGCUUUGGGAUAACCCUCGGAAACGGGGGCUAAUACCGAAUAUGACCUGGGCCUCGCAUGAGGCUUGGUGGAAAGUUUUUCGGCCUGGGAUGGGC